AGUCGAGGGGUAUGCUUUUUCGGAAGCAGAGACCGGCGCACGGGUGCGUAACGCGUAUGCAAUCUACCUUUUACAGAGGGAUAGCCCAGAGAAAUUUGGAUUAAUACCUCAUAGCAUAGCAACUUCGCAUGAAGUCACUAUUAAAGUCACAACGGUAAAAGAUGAGCAUGCGUCCCAUUAGCUAGUUGGUAAGGUAACGGCUUACCAAGGCUACGAUGGGUAGGGGUCCUGAGAGGGAGAUCCCCCACACUGGUACUGAGACACGGACCAGACUCCUACGGGAGGCAGCAGUGAGGAAUAUUGGACAAUGGGCGCAAGCCUGAUCCAGCCAUGCCGCGUGCAGGAUGACGGUCCUAUGGAUUGUAAACUGCUUUUAUACAGGAAGAAACCCUGGUUCGUGAACCAGCUUGACGGUACUGUAAGAAUAAGGAUCGGCUAACUCCGUGCCAGCAGCCGCGGUAAUACGGAGGAUCCAAGCGUUAUCCGGAAUCAUUGGGUUUAAAGGGUCCGUAGGCGGUUUAGUAAGUCAGUGGUGAAAGCCCAUCGCUCAACGGUGGAACGGCCAUUGAUACUGCUAAACUUGAAUUAUUAGGAAGUAACUAGAAUAUGUAGUGUAGCGGUGAAAUGCUUAGAGAUUACAUGGAAUACCAAUUGCGAAGGCAGGUUACUACUAAUUGAUUGACGCUGAUGG
rnacentral:rRNA from 1 species